ACAUGACUACAACAUGGUGUUAAUUCAUAGGAUCCCAUUAGAACUCCAUAGUUAAGCGCGCUCGAGAUAGAGUAGUACUGGUAUGGGCGAUCACCCAAGAAGUAUUAGUAUUUUACAUGCC
rfam:Picea glauca, whole genome shotgun sequence.